rnacentral:tRNA from 1 species
GCCUCCGUGGCGCAAUCGGUUAGCGCGUUCGGCUGUUAACCGAAAGGUUGUUGGUUCAAUCCCAACCGGGGGCG